UACGUAGGGUGCGAGCGUUGUCCGGAAUUAUUGGGCGUAAAGAGCUCGUAGGCGGUCUGUCGCGUCGGUCGUGAAAACUUGGGGGCUUAACCCUGAGCUUGCGGUCGAUACGGGCAUGACUGGAGUUCGGCAGGGGAGACUGGAAUUCCUGGUGUAGCGGUGAAAUGCGCAGAUAUCAGGAGGAACACCGGUGGCGAAGGCGGUUCUCUGGGCAUUACCUGACGCUGAGGAGCGAAAGCGUGGGUAGCAAACAGG
rnacentral:rRNA from 1 species